AGAAAUAUAGAUAAUUUGAUCAGUUCACAAUCAUUUCGGUGAAUGAAGGCAUUGGAAUUGAAUUAUUGGCGUAUAAAAAUUCAUCUUUCUAGUAGUUUAGAAUUGCAUUUUUUUUCUUCAGAAAUAACAUUAUUCAUUUUGUGUUUUAAAAUUGUUUCUUUCUGUUUCCUCAAAUCUUGAUAUUUGGCGUAUGAUUUUAAUCAUUUCAAGGUAUGAUUAGUCUAUUUGAUUCAUCACAUCUUUUUAUGAUGCAGAUCUCAUUAUAAUCAUUAUUACAUGUGUUUUGCUGAUGAUGCUUUUUUAAAACAGGCUGAAGAAUUGUAUGUAGUAUUUAUGUUUUUUAGGCCAUAUCCAAUGAGCAUACAUUUAGGUCUACACCAGAUGCUGGAUUCAAUGAAAUUCAGCAAAACACACAUAACCCAGUAACAUUAUAAAAAACAUAUGUAAUCUUGAAGACACAUCAUAGAAUAGUUUUCAAUUGACAGUAAUGUAGAAACAUAUUGAGGAUUUCAUAAAGAAACCACCAGAAGAACCAAACAGCUAUCUUUUACACCGAGGAAUGUUAGUGAUCCAGAAAUAAAGUGUUCAUCCUUGUUCUAAUUAAACAGUUUUUCAGCAUAUAGAUCUACUGUGUUGUGUUGCAACAUUACAAUGUUGAGUACAUUUUCAUACCUUGAAUUCAGAUAAGCCAAAUUUUUGACGAAAGGCCACUGUUGAAAGGUGGUCUCUCUUGACAGGUGGUCUUUAACUGAUGAGUGUUACAUGAACAUAUAUAUAUAUAUAGCCCUUGCUAUUUUUAAUCUACAUGGUGAAUGAUGUAUUAGUAUAACUAUUUUGGAAUGUAGAGACCUCUGUUUGUUUGUUGUUUGUUAUUGUUGUUUUUUAAUUUCGCGUAUAUUUUGACAUUUUCAAGGUCAUUUUCCAUCUAAAUGCUUAAACAUGAUUUUUUUUUUCAUAGAUAAGCAAGGUCACUUUACUACAAAUAUUUUGGAUGGUUACAAUCAUAAUAUUUGCUACCCUUCCCCUCAGAACUGACUGGGGUCAAUUUUUUGCAUUUUUCAACAAAUUUCAGAAAUUGUCAAUCUUGCAAUAACCAAUAAAGAAAAUUCACCAAAAAUUUAUUUUCUCAUAUUUUCCUUCAAAACUACUUUGAAAGUUCAUCCAAUACAUUACACAAUUAUAAAAUGUAAUAAAAAACAAAGAAAAAAGUUUUAUAAAAAAUCAUGUAGCAUUGCUAUUACAACGGAAAGA